rnacentral:rRNA from 1 species
CAAUAGCGUAUAUUAAAGUUGUUGCGGUUAAAAAGCUCGUAGUUGGAUUUCUGCUGAGAACGACCGGUCCGCCCUCUGGGUGUGUAUCUGGCUCUUUCUUGGCAUCUUCUUGGUGAACGUUGCUGCACUUGACUGUGUGGAGCGCUACCCAGGACUUUUACUUUGAGGAAAUUAGAGUGUUUCAAGCAGGCAUACGCCUUGAAUACAUUAGCAUGGAAUAAUAAGAUAGGACCUCGGUUCUAUUUUGUUGGUUUCUAGAGCUGAGGUAAUGAUUAAUAGGGAUAGUUGGGGGCAUUCGUAUUUAACUGUCAGAGGUGAAAUUCUUGGAUUUGUUAAAGACGGACUACUGCGAAANGANNNGCCAAGGAUGUUUNCAUNGA